AACGAACGCUGGCGGCAUGCCUAACACAUGCAAGUCGAACGAGACCUUCGGGUCUAGUGGCGCACGGGUGCGUAACGCGUGGGAAUCUGCCCCUCGGUUCGGAAUAACAGUUAGAAAUGACUGCUAAUACCGGAUGAUGACUUCGGUCCAAAGAUUAUCGCCGAGGGAUGAGCCCGCGUAAGAUUAGGUAGUUGGUGGGGUAAAGGCCUACCAAGCCGACGAUCUUUAGCUGGUCUGAGAGGAUGAUCAGCCACACUGGGACUGAGACACGGCCCAGACUCCUACGGGAGGCAGCAGUGGGGAAUAUUGGACAAUGGGCGAAAGCCUGAUCCAGCAAUGCCGCGUGAGUGAUGAAGGCCUUAGGGUUGUAAAGCUCUUUUACCAGGGAUGAUAAUGACAGUACCUGGAGAAUAAGCUCCGGCUAACUCCGUGCCAGCAGCCGCCGUAA
rnacentral:rRNA from 1 species